rnacentral:rRNA from 1 species
CCUACGGGCGGCAGCAGUGAGGAAUAUUGGUCAAUGGGCGAGAGCCUGAACCAGCCAAGUCGCGUGAGGGAGUACUGCCCUAUGGGUUGUAAACCUCUUUUGUCGGGGAGCAAAAGCCGGACGUGUCCGGCUGUGAGAGUACCCGAAGAAAAAGCAUCGGCUAACUCCGUGCCAGCAGCCGCGGUAAUACGGAGGAUGCGAGCGUUAUCCGGAUUUAUUGGGUUUAAAGGGGGCGCAGGCGGGUUUUUAAGUCAGCGGUAAAAUCGUGGGGCUCAACCCCAUCGAGCCGUUGAAACUGGGGAUCUAGAGUGUGCGAGAGGUAUGCGGAAUGCGUGGUGUAGCGGUGAAAUGCAUAGAUAUCACGCAGAACCCCGAUUGCGAAGGCAGCAUACCGGUGCACAACUGACGCUCAGGCACGAAAGCGUGGGUAUCGAACAGGAUUAGAUACCCCGGUAGUC